CAUGUCUGGGCGGGAAUGGGGGCUGGGGCCCUGUGUGACGCUUUGGAUCUCUGGGGCAAAGGAGCCCUGGUCACCGUGUCCUCGGCCAAAACCACGGCCCCGUCAGUCUUCCCCCUGGCGCCCGGCAGCAAGACCACGUCUGGCUCCACGGUGGCCCUGGGAUGCCUGGUCAAGAGCUACUUCCCCGAGCCUGUGACCGUGACAUGGAACUCGGGCUCCCUGACCAGCGGCGUGCACACCUUCCCGUCCAUCCUGCAGUCCUCGGGGCUCUACUCCCUCAGCAGCAUGGUGACCGUGCCAGCCAGCAGCUGGACCAGCCAGACCUACGUCUGCAACGUAGACCACCCGGCCAGCAGAACCAAGGUGGACAAGACCGUCGGACCCAGCUGCUCACCCCAGGCGCUACCUUGCCCACCUUGUGAAGUCCUGGGGGGACCGUCCGUCUUCAUCUUCCCCCCGAAGCCCAAGGACACCCUCAUGAUCUCGCUGACCCCCACGGUCACGUGCGUGGUGGUGGACGUCAGCCAGGACGACCCCGACGUCCAGUUCACCUGGUACGUGGACAACGUGGAGGUGCGCACCGCCCAGACGAAGCCGCGGGAGCAGCAGCACAACAGCACGUACCGCGUGGUCAGUGUGCUCCCAGUCCUGCACCAGGACUGGCUGAAGGGCAAGGAGUUCAAGUGCAAGGUCAACAACAAAGCCCUCCCAGCCCCGGUCGUGAAAAGCAUCUCUAAAGCCAAAGGGCCGGUCCGUGAGCCGAAGGUGUACAUCCUGCCCCCGCCGCGGGAGGAGCUGAGCCAGAACGAGGUCAGCCUGACCUGCCUGAUCCGAGGCUUCUACCCCGAGGACAUCGUGGUCGAGUGGGAGAGCAACGGGCAGCCGCAGAGCAACUACAAGACCACCCCGGCCGUGCAGGACUCGGACGGCUCCUUCUUCCUCUACAGCAAGCUCACGGUGCCCCGGAGCGCCUGGAACUCGGGCACCAGCUACUCCUGCUCCGUGAUGCACGAGGCCCUGCACAACCACUACACCCAGAAGUCCCUCUCGGCGUCUCCGGGUAAAUGAGCGCUGUACCCGGCAAGCCCCUCGCCCCCCGGGACCUCAGGGUCCCGCGAGGACGCUUGACACGACCCCCCCCUGUACAUACCUCCCGGGCACCCGGCAUGGAAAUAAAGCACCCAGCUGCCCUGGGACCCUGCGA